UACGAAGGGGGCGAGCGUUGUUCGGAUUUACUGGGCGUAAAGGGCGCGCAGGCGGCUUUGUUUGUCAGGCGUGAAAGCCCCGGGCUUAACCUGGGAACUGCGUUUGAUACGGCAGGGCUAGAGUUCGGGAGAGGAGAGUGGAAUUCCCAGUGUAGAGGUGAAAUCGUAGAUAUUGGGAAGAACACCGGUGGCGAAGGCGGCUCUCUGGACCGAUACUGACGCUGAGGCGCGAAAAGCGGUGGGGAGCAAACAGG
rnacentral:rRNA from 1 species